AAGCGUAUAAUUAAAUUAUCACAACUAUUUUCCUUCGCAAUUAUAUUUAUUUCAUACUUCGAAUUAUUCCGAGAAUUUAAUAAAUAAUUCCCCACGAUUAAAUCAUCGGCCCAAGGGUUUAAUUAAUCUGGCCCAAAAUAAUUAUUUACUUAGUCCACCUUAUUUCUCCAUUUUAAAUUUUAAAGCCCAACACAAAUUAAAUAGAGCCCAAACCAAACAAAACAACCCACUUAAUUGCUGAGGCCCAAUUUCUAAAAAAAGAAAGGCCCACUAUACUCCCAUCAUCCCCACGCCUUUCUCUUUCUCUCUCCCUAUCUCUCAAAAUUCUCUGUAACUCACUUCUGCAAAUUACAUCUCAAAACACCAAGCUCAUCUCCCUCGUUCCAAAAUCGUCCACCGCCGCUCCGUCGGCCAGCGCGCGCUGCCUCUGUCACGCUCGGCCUCCGUCACCGAGCAGCCACUGUCCGUCGUUGCCAUGACACUGCAAUACAGCCGCUGCCCAGCUCCUCCGUCGGCAGUGCCGUUUCUCACAAUCCAAUUUGUUCCCGUGAACUACUGUGAAUAUAUGGGGCUAUGUCAUGAGAUGGAAUGAACAUAGUUUCAGAAAUUAAACGGUAUACCUUUGGAAAGAAGAAGCUUACUAGCAACAGGGGAAUUUGAGAUCACCUCUCUUUCUCGGUUUCAACUUUGAACGGAAGAGAAGGAAAAAAACUGCAAUGGAAUGGUUGAAAAUUGGCUGAGAUUGUGGGAAGAGAUAUAUAAUAAUAAAUUAUGUGGAGAUUUGGUUUGUUGGAGAGAUUUUAGGGAGCGGAGAUAUGAAUAAAUCUUUUAUUGAUAGGUUUGGAUAACUAUAUUUGACCAAGUCAACUAGGAAAAGAUUUAAUUAAAUUAAUUUGAUUUUUUUUUUCUCUUGUUUUUUUUCGGGUUGUUACAUAUAUACCUUUUAUAAAUAAAGAUUUUAUGUAAAUAAUUAAUGUAACAAGAAACGAAGGUCGUUUGAGGAAGUA